rnacentral:sRNA from 1 species
GCUGGGUGCAGUGGCAUGCACCUAUAGUCCCAGUUACUUGGGAAGCUGAGGUUGGAGGAUCACUUGAUCCUAGGAAUUUUAGAACAUCCUGGACACCAUAAUGUGAUCCCCAUAUCAA